rnacentral:rRNA from 1 species
GAGUUUGAUCAUGGCUCAGGAUGAACGCUGGCGGCGUGCCUAACACAUGCAAGUCGAACGGAUCCAUAUUGAAACCUAGUGAUGUAUGGAUUAGUGGCGGACGGGUGAGUAACGCGUGGAUAACCUGCCGUAUACAGGGGGAUAACACUUAGAAAUAGGUGCUAAUACCGCAUAAGCGCACGGUUCCGCAUGGAACAGUGUGAAAAAACUCCGGUGGUAUACGAUGGAUCCGCGUCUGAUUAGCCAGUUGGCGGGGUAACGGCCCACCAAAGCGACGAUCAGUAGCCGGCCUGAGAGGGUGAACGGCCACAUUGGGACU